GACGAACGCUGGCGGCGUGCUUAACACAUGCAAGUCGAACGGGCCUUGUCCCCUUUUUUUUUGGGGGUGGGGUUAGUGGCGAACGGGUGAGUAACACGUGAGUAACCUGCCCCUCACUUCUGGAUAACCGCUUGAAAGGGUGGCUAAUACGGGGUGUUCUGGCCUGCUCGCAUGGGUGGGUUUGGAAAGAUUCGACCGGUUUUGGUUGUUUUGGUGGGGGAUGGGCUCGCGGCCUAUCAGCUUGUUGGUGGGGUGAUGGCCUGCCAAGGCUUUGACGGGUAGCCGGCCUGAGAGGGUGGGCGGUCACACUGGGACUGAGACACGGCCCAGACUCCUACGGGAGGCAGCAGUGGGGAAUAUUGCACAAUGGGCGCAAGCCUGAUGCAGCGACGCCGCGUGAGGGAUGGAGGCCGUCGGGUUGUGAACCUCUUUCGCCAGUGAAGAAGGUCCUGCUCCUUGUGGUGGGGUUGACGGUAGCUGGGUUAAUGAAGCGCCGGCUAACUACGUG
rnacentral:rRNA from 1 species